GUGAGGAAUAUUGCGCAAUGGAGGCAACUCUGACGCAGCCAUGCCGCGUGCAGGAAGAAGGCGCUACGCGUUGUAAACUGCUUUUAACCGGGAAGAAACCCCAGGACGUGUCCUGGGUUGACGGUACCGGAGGAAUAAGCACCGGCUAACUUCGUGCCAGCAGCCGCGGUAAUACGAAGGGUGCAAGCGUUAUCCGGAUUCAUUGGGUUUAAAGGGUGCGUAGGCGGAUCGUUAAGUCAGUGGUGAAAUCCUGCAGCUUAACUGUAGACUUGCCAUUGAUACUGGCGCUCUUGAGUGCGCUUGAAGUGGGCGGAAUGUGCCGUGUAGCGGUGAAAUGCUUAGAUAUGGCACAGAACACCAAUUGCGAAGGCAGCUCACUAAGGCGAUACUGACGCUGAGGCACGAAAGCGUGGGGAUCGAACAGGAUUAGAUACCCCUGUAGUCC
rnacentral:rRNA from 1 species